GCCUGAGGAUGAGUCCGCGGCUGAUUAGCUAGUUGGUGGGGUAAAGGCCUACCAAGGCGACGAUCAGUAGCCGGCCUGAGAGGGUGGACGGCCACACUGGGACUGAGACACGGCCCAGACUCCUACGGGAGGCAGCAGUGAGGAAUUUUGCGCAAUGGGCGAAAGCCUGACGCAGCGACGCCGCGUGGACGAUGAAGGUCUUCGGAUUGUAAAGUCCUGUCAGUGGGGAAGAUGAUGACGGUACCCGCUGAGGAAGCUCCGGCUGGUACCCCUGGAGGAAGCCCCGGCUAACUACGUGCCAGCAGCCGCGGUAAUACGUAGGGGGCGAGCGUUGUCCGGAAUCACUGGGCGUAAAGGGCGCGCAGGCGGCUGUGUAAGUCAGGUGUGAAAGGCCACGGCUUAACCGGGGGAAUGCGUCCGAUACUGCCGUGCUAGAGUGCGGGAGAGGAAAGUGGAAUUCCUGGUGUAGCGGUGAAAUGCGUAGAUAUCAGGAGGAACACCGGUGGCGAAGGCGGCUUUCUGGCCCGUAACUGACACUGAGGCGCGAAAGCGUGGGGAGCGAACGGGAUUAGAUACCCCGGUAGUCCACGCCGUAAACGAUGUUCACUAGGGGUGGGGGAGCUCGAACCUCCCAGUGCCGUAGCUAACGCGUUAAGUAUCCCGCCUGGGGACUACGGCCGCAGGGUUGAAACUCAAAGGAAUUGGCGGGGGCCCGCACAAGCGGUGGAGCAUGUGGUUUAAUUCGACUCAACGCGAAAAACCUUACCUGGGCUUGACAUGUGGAGAAUCCCGUUGAAAGACGGGAGUGCCCGGGGGCGGGGGAUACCGGUGCUGCAUGGUUGUCGUCAGCUCGUGUCGUGAGAUGUUGGGUUAAGUCCCGCAACGAGCGCAACCCUCGUCCUGUGUUGCCAGCGUAGAGGCGGGCACUCACAGGAGACUGCCGGCGUGUGAAACCGGAGGAAGGUGGGGAUGACGUCAAGUCCUCAUGGCCUUUAUGCCCAGGGCUACACACGUACUACAAUGGGCGGCACAACNNNNNAGCGAACCCGUAAGGGGGAGCAAAACCCAAAAAAGCGGUCCCAGUUCGGAUUGAGGGCUGCAACCCGUCCGCGUGAAGGCGGAGUCGCUAGUAAUCGCGAAUCAGCAACGUCGCGGUGAAUGUGUUCCUGAGCCUUGUACACACCGCCCGUCAAGUCAUGGGAGCUGGUAGUACCCGAAGUCCGCUUAGCCAACCGCAAGGAGGCGGCGGCCGACGGUAAGACCGGUGACUGGGACUAAGUCGUAACAAGGUAGCCGUAGGAGAACCUGCGGCUGGAUCACCUCCUU
rnacentral:rRNA from 1 species